GACGUCGAAUAUCGACGUGAUCAGCACCAAAGUUGAUCGUGUUUAUGACGUCAAAUAUCGACGUCAUGAACACCAAAGUUGAUCGUGUUUAUGACGUCGAAUAUCGACGUGAUGAACACCAAAGUUAAUCCUGUUUAUGACGUCGAAUAUCCGCGUCAUAAACACCAAAAUUGAUCAUGUUUAUGACGUCGAAUAUCCACGUCAUAAACAUCUAAGUUGACCGUGUUUAUGACGUCGAAUAUCGACGUC
rnacentral:miRNA from 1 species